ensembl:lncRNA
CGGAGCUCCGGCCGCCUCCCGAACAAAGGGACCCGGCGCUCUUUGUGUCGCGGGAGCGCCUCGGGUGCGGGCGUGCGGCACGGCCGCGACCACCGCCGGGCUGCCGGCUGAAUGAGAGCGCGGGGCCCGCUCUUAUUUCUCCCCGCCGUUGUGCGGAUGGGAGACCUUUGCGCUACGCCCUGAGCGCUUGCGUAGCGAGUCUGACGGCUGUGCCGAAGCGAUCGGACGUGAAAACGGGCGCCUUAACGCACCUCCACAGCUGAUCUCGGGGAGAGCCUUGCGUAUAACGAGGUGCUGUUGUCAUUCGUGCGCAAACACCGCACGCUGGCUUCUCCUGGGUGAUACUGGGGGCUGCAGGGAAAGCACAGCGCUGAGCAGGUGGCUCCAGCGCGGCCAUAGAGGCACCCGUGCAUCCAGCAGUCUGGGUGCGGAGAGGUGGCUCUCGCCCUCCGUUACAGGGGGCCACGCUCCCCAGGCAGCCAAAGGAGCAGCAAGGCAAAAGGCCAACUACAGCAAAGACCCGAGCCCUGCUUACAGGGAGGUCGCCCAGCACAAAGCCCACCAGGACGCCAAAGGCGCCGGCAGCGCUCAACUCAAAUGCGACUGCGGCCCCGCUAACAGGACAGGUGCUUUGCCCAGGGAGCCUCUCUCCUUCCCCCCCGCAUCUGCACGCUUCCGCAUCCUCUUCUUGCUCGCUCCUGCCGCCCAGGUCCCCACGCCGCUUCUUCUUCUUUCUUCUGCAGCAGCUCCUGAAACAUCAGCGGGGACACCAUUAGACCCGCGCAGUGGCAAGCCCCCCACCUGAAGGAAAAGGUGUAGGACUGAUUCCUCAGGGACUUCCAGAUGCAAAAAUUGCAAUGAUAACCAGACGGAUGCAAAUAAAUACAGAGGCACUCAGAAUUCCUGACAUCAACUGAAUCUAAACUGACAGAACGGAUUUCCUUCUCAUUUGUUUUUGUUUGAAACAGUGGUGCUUACUAGCACUUUUGGGAAAGCACUCAGUAAAUACAGAAGGCUGAAAAAGUAUUGUCUACUUUGGCUUUAAUUACAACAAAUGCAUAAGUAAAUAAAUAAAUUCAUGAAGAAGUCUGGUCCUGUAGAUAGUUUCUACUAAGAAAAGCAGGGUUAUAUUCUGAAAGAAAGAACAACCUUUCCCAGCAUAUAUAGUAAAAUAAAACAUCCAUUCUUCCAUUCAUCUUUUCUUAGCAAUAAUGUACCGUUACUCAUGGCUUGCAUUUACCUAUCAAAAGCGUAAAUGGAUUAAGCCCACAAAUGCUUCCCAGAGCUCCAAACUAAAUAGAAGGCUCAGGAAACAUCGGGAGGCAGCCCCAACUUCCACCAACACUGAUCAGUUCAGGAAUUUUCUGUCAAACAGCGUACAACUCGCUCAGCAAUAAAUCCACUUGCCCUUAUUUCCAAUAUCCUACCCUGUUUUACUUCCCAGGAAAACAACGACAACAACAACGAUACAUCCCCAACCCGCAGAGCAAGGACAUGCACAAUGCUGGGUUUUAUCCCUCUGUUAAAACAAAUAAAACUACAAAUCAGAACGAAAGAAAAUGCUUGCAGAGUUCUCUGUCAGUUCUGUAGCCAUUUACAGACCACCACCACCAAGGGCACCUCGUUGAGAAGGCUGAAACAUCCCCGCCUUGUAAUUGUACCACAGUUGUGAAAAUAAAAUUCAUUUCCAAACAUUUCCCUAAGAUGUUCAAAGCCUGGACCGCCAAAGCAAAAUGCACCAAGACCCCAGCAUUUCAUCUAGCUGUCUAAAAUAUUAAACUUUUCAUAUAUGCCGUAUUUGAAUGCGUCCUUCUCCAAGUGCACUUCAGAGCGCUCGCCCCACAUCAGCAACGGUAGUUCCGGCAUACUGCAAUUUACCGAUCCCCACGGGAAUGCCUGCAAGGAUUCCAUCUGAAGGUUUAGGCGACAUCCAAAGUUAGUGGGCGCUUCAGCAGCUGAAAUAGAAAUGCUGUUCAGCUCCCCGGCCAUCUUCUCCAGACCGUGCCUCCAAUAAGAACAGUACACUUGCAUGCGUUCCUGAACUACAAUGGGACAGGACAGUGAUUAAAGUAGUGAAGCAUAGCGCAGUAUCUCUCUGGUAACAUACAUUGUGUAUGGAAUGGAGCGUAAAGGGAAAUGAGAUGAACUUUGUACAGCUCACCUUAAUUAAGUCGUGUCCUGAUGGAAAUUAAUUUGAAUGUUAAUAGCAUGUAUAAAUGUUGUCUGAGCUUUCUCUCAGUGCCCACUUCAAGCCACAUGCACUGUCCCGGGUCUGUCAGUUCCGGGUGUUCACAUACAUUCUCCUAUUCAUCCAGCUGGCCGUCACUUUGUAUCUUGCAAGUGAUUAACAGCAAAUUCUAUGGACAAUAAGAGUUACAUCUUAGCACCUUUCCAAACAUCUGCCAGCCAGCACACCACGCUUCAGCCCCACCACAGGCUUCUGAAUUUCACACUGUUUCAGGAGGUUUUAUUAAAUUAAGACUGUGGAGCACCAUGUUUUUGUCGGCCCCUAGUUUUACUUUGGUUUGUAGUCCCCCUGAGCACUGAAGGUCUGCACGUUUGUUCCAACAAGACUUAUUUUUCUUAUUAAUUAAUUUAUUUUUUUUUCCUUUUUCUUUUGUUCGGAAUUGGGGCGAUGGAAAGCGGAGCGGAGACGCACCCAGCGGGGGCCUCUGGAAACCGUUAAGGCCGGGAACGUUCUUCGGAGGGGAGACGCUCUAUCGCGCCGGUCGCGUCGGAUGCAAAGCGACCCGUUUGAAUUGGCACAAUUACUUAACUUAUCGAUGAAUCCCACAGUGCGGCGAGGAGAAGCGCGUAACAAACUGUACUUCAAAGUGUAAUUUAAGUCCCUAAUUCAGAUCCGGAGUCCGCACGUCAAACUGUCAGAGCCCCGGGCCGUCCCUAACGAGGCCGGCUGCGCUAAGGAGGCAACGACUCCCAGGUGCCGCGGGGCCGCGGCCGGCCGGGCGCAGCUGCGCCUCGUCGGGAGCCGCGGGCGGGGCCCGCCCCAAAGCCUCUUAAGCUCCUCCGGAGGCUGCCGGGAGCCACGGGGGAGUUUCUGCGGUUGUGGAUAGGCGACGGCGGGGGUUCUGUUUCUUUGUCGGGCCCUGGUGUUGCUGAGGCUGAGAAGCG